rnacentral:rRNA from 1 species
UACGUAGGCAGCGAGCGUUGUUCGGAGUUACUGGGCGUAAAGAGUGCGUAGGCGGUUUUCUAAGUUUGGUGUGAAAUCUCCCGGCUUAACUGGGAGGUGUCGCCGAAAACUGGAAGGCUUGAGUAUGGGAGAGGUAAGCGGAAUUCCUGGUGUAGCGGUGAAAUGCGUAGAUAUCAGGAGGAACACCUGCGGUGUAGACGGCUUACUGGACCAUAACUGACGCUGAGGCACGAAAGCGUGGGUAGCAAACAGG